ACGCCAAAAUUAAACAUUUCAAUAGAAAAUCAACAUAAAACCAACAACAACCAGCAAAACAAUAAAAAAAUACGAAACAAUUCAAACAUUAAGAUUCAACAAUCAAACUUCAUACAUAUUUAUCCAACUUAAACAAUAUGCAAACAAGUAUAAAAAAGUAUACAAAAAAGUAUCAAAAUAAAUUCUUUCAACCACUCCAAACUAACAUAAUCCAAAACUAAAAUAACACCACCACCUAAUACUCUAUUUCAUCCAAUUCAUCAUCCUCGUCCCCUCCACCAUCAUCAUCAGAGCCAGGGGCGGAUAACAAGGAAGCUUGAUUAAUGUAUUUACAUGAACCUUGAGUUUUUGGACGUCUGACUCAAGUGUCGUCCAACGUCACUCCUCCUCCAUCCUUAUUUUCGUUCCUCCUCGUACUUCUUAGCAAGCUCCUACACUUUCUGUCACAUCUCCUCAAGCUGUUCACCUGGCAUGGUGGUGGACCCCUAUACCUUGCAAUUCACACUGAAGUCGAUGAAAGUUCUUCUUGAAGCAAGGGUCGUACGCCCUUUCUUUAUGCACGCCGCCAACUACAUUCAGCCAGCAGGAGAGAGUUUCUUCCUCUGCUAACAUGAUUAGAUUACUUGAUCAUCUAUCAGUCAAUUUUUUGGAGCUCUUCAAUUGCUUGAUCAUAUCGAUUCUACAUUAAAAGUAAAAUUAAUAUAAAAUAAAUUAUAAGUAAGAUUUAAACUACUUUGAGUUUGAAAGUACAGCAAAAUGGACUUAUCUAAAUUUCGUGUAUUUUUGGCUAUGGUGCCUUUCUUGUUUCUUGUUUCAGUAGUUCAUGGUUGGGGACUUGAUGUCCAUUACUUUAUUUGCAAGAUUUCUUAGUCAAGAUUGAGCCAAAUAGUAAAAGGAAAAAGAUAAUCUUAAUAUCCUAGACAUGCUUCUGAGUUGAAAUUCAAUUCUAGAGCUCUAGUGGACCCCCACAUAUAUGCUUUGAACUAGG
rnacentral:lncRNA from 1 species